rnacentral:rRNA from 1 species
ACUCCUACGGGAGGCAGCAGUGGGAAGUAUUGCACAAUGGGGGAAACCCUGAUGCAGCCAUGCCGCGUGUGUGAAGAAGGCCUUGGUUGUAAAGCACUUUCAGUAGGGAGGAAGGUAGUGUAGUUAACACCUGCAUUAUUUGUACGUUACCUACAGAAGAAGCACCGGCUAACUCCGUGCCAGCAGCCGCUGUAAUACGGAGGGUGCGAGCGUUAAUCGGAAUUACUGGGCGUAAAGCGCAUGCAGGCGGCCUGUUAAGUCAGAUGUGAAAGCCCGGGGUCUUAACCUCGGAAUUGCAUUUGAAACUGGCAGGCUAGAGUCUUGUAGAGGGGUUAGAAUUUCAGGUGUAGCGGUGAAAUGCGUAGAGAUCUGAAGG